rnacentral:rRNA from 1 species
AGUGAACGCUGGCGGUAGGCCUAACACAUGCAAGUCGAACGGCAGCACAGUAAGAGCUUGCUCUUACGGGUGGCGAGUGGCGGACGGGUGAGGAAUACAUCGGAAUCUACUUUUUCGUGGGGGAAAACGUAGGGAAACUUACGCUAAUACCGCAUACGACCUACGGGUGAAAGCAGGGGAUCUUCGGACCUUGCGCGAUUGAAUGAGCCGAUGUCGGAUUAGCUAGUUGGCGGGGUAAAGGCCCACCAAGGCGACGAUCCGUAGCUGGUCUGAGAGGAUGAUAAGCCACACUGGAACUGAGACACGGUCCAGACUCCUACGGGAGGCAGCAGUGGGGAAUAUUGGACAAUGGGCGCAAGCCUGAUCCAGCCAUACCGCGUGGGUGAAGAAGGCCUUCGGGUUGUAAAGCCCUUUUGUUGGGAAAGAAAAGCAGCAGGUUAAUACCCCGCUGUUCUGACGGUACCCAAAGAAUAAGCACCGGCUAACUUCGUG